rnacentral:rRNA from 1 species
GUCCACGCCCUAACGAUGUCAACUAGUUGUUGGGAAUUAAUUUCUUGGUAACGAAGCUAACGCGCGAAGUUGACCGCCUGGGGAGUACGGUCGCAAGAUUAAACUACAAAGGAAUUGACGGGGACCCGCACAAGCGGUGGAUGAUGUGGAUUAAUUUCGAUGCAACGCGAAAACCUUAACCUACCCUUGACAUGUCUGGAAUCCUGAUGAAAGUUGGGAGUGCUCGAAAGAGAGCCAGAACACAGGUGCUGCAUGGCUGUCGU